rnacentral:rRNA from 1 species
UUUUCAGCCGCCGCGGUAAUACGUAGGGGGCAAGCGUUGUCCGGAUUUACUGGGCGUAAAGAGCGUGUAGGCGGCCAAACAGGUCCGUUGUGAAGACUGGAGGCUCAACCUCCAGACGUCGACGGAAACCGUAUGGCUAGAGUCCGGAAGAGGAGAGUGGAAUUCCUGGUGUAGCGGUGAAAUGCGCAGAUAUCAGGAAGAACACCUAUGGCGAAGGCAGCUCUCUGGGACGGUACUGACGCUGAGACGCGAAAGCGUGGGGAGCGAACAGGAUUAGAUACCCCCGUAGUCC